UACGUAGGGGGCAAGCGUUGUUCGGAAUUACUGGGCGUAAAGGGCUGGUAGGCGGCCAACUAAGUCGGAUGUGAAAUCCCCAGGCUUAACCUGGGAACUGCAUCCGAUACUGGUCGGCUUGAAUCCGGGAGAGGGAUGCAGAAUUCCAGGUGUAGCGGUGAAAUGCGUAGAUAUCUGGAGGAAUACCGGUGGCGAAGGCGGCAUCCUGGACCGGCAUUGACGCUGAACAGCGAAAGCUAGGGGAGCAAACGGG
rnacentral:rRNA from 1 species